rnacentral:rRNA from 1 species
CCUACGGGAGGCAGCAGUGGGGAAUCUUGCACAAUGGAGGAAACUCUGAUGCAGCGACGCCGCGUGGACGACGAAGCCCUUCGGGGUGUAAAGUCCUUUCGACAGGAACGAUAAUGACGGUACCUGUGGAAGAAGCUGCGGCUAACUACGUGCCAGCAGCCGCGGUAAUACGUAGGCAGCAAGCGUUGUUCGGAAUUACUGGGCGUAAAGAGUUCGUAGGCGGUGUGCCAAGUUUGGUGUGAAAUCUCCCGGCUCAACUGGGAGGUGCGCCGAAUACUGGCAUGCUCGAGUACAGGAGAGGAAAGCGGAAUUUCUGGUGUAGCGGUGAAAUGCGUAGAUAUCAGAAGGAACACCUGUGGUGUAGACGGCUUUCUGGACUGUAACUGACGCUGAGGAACGAAAGCGUGGGUAGCAGACAGGAUUAGAUACCCUGGUAGUCCACGCCCUAAACGAUGCAUACGUUGGUGUGAGCACUACUAUUAGUUCGUGCGUAGUCUACGUACGUAGUAUGCCGCCGUGGGAGGUACGGUCGCGAGGAGAGUAACGUACGAAGUUAGAGUUAGUUACGGCGUGAGACGUUGCGACGGACGACGACGAGGGAGGAGG